rnacentral:rRNA from 1 species
CUUCGGGUGCGUUAAUGGGCGUCGAGCGGCGGACGGGUGAGUAAUGCCUAGGAAAUUGCCUUGAUGUGGGGGAUAACCAUUGGAAACGAUGGCUAAUACCGCAUAAUGCCUACGGGCCAAAGAGGGGGAUCUUCGGACCUCUCGCGUCAAGAUAUGCCUAGGUGGGAUUAGCUAGUUGGUGAGGUAAUGGCUCACCAAGGCGACGAUCCCUAGCUGGUCUGAGAGGAUGAUCAGCCACACUGGAACUGAGACACGGUCCAGACUCCUACGGGAGGCAGCAGUGGGGAAUAUUGCACAAUGGGCGAAAGCCUGAUGCAGCCAUGCCGCGUGUAUGAAGAAGGCCUUCGGGUUGUAAAGUACUUUCAGUUGUGAGGAAGGGUGUGUAGUUAAUAGCUGCACAUCUUGACGUUAGCAACAGAAGAAGCACCGGCUAACUCCGUGCCAGCAGCCGCGGUAAUACGGAGGGUGCGAGCGUUAAUCGGAAUUACUGGGCGUAAAGCGCAUGCAGGUGGUUCAUUAAGUCAGAUGUGAAAGCCCGGGGCUCAACCUCGGAACUGCAUUUGAAACUGGUGAACUAGAGUGCUGU